AGAGCGAACGCUGGCGGCAGGCUUAACACAUGCAAGUCGAACGGACCCUUCGGGGUUAGUGGCGGACGGGUGAGUAACGACGUGGGAACGUGCCCUUAGGUUCGGAACAACACAGGGAAACUUGUGCUAAUACCGGAUAAGCCCUUACGGGGAAAGAUUUAUCGCCUUUGGAGCGGCCCGCGUCUGAUUAGCUUGUUGGUGAGGUAAAGGCUCACCAAGGCUACGAUCAGUAGCUGGU
rnacentral:rRNA from 1 species